rnacentral:rRNA from 1 species
AUGGCUCUGUUUCAGAGUUUCCCGCUCGCUGGCGCCUCCUCGGAUCCCACGACCCUCCUCCAGAACCAGUGCUCACGCCACACCCUGUCCACCUGCUCGAUCGGCACCCCCCUCGUCUCCGGCAGCAGGAGGUACACGAACACCGUCAUGGCCGCCAGCCACGCCGCGAAGAAGAAGAAAAUCCCGGCCCUCAUGCGGCACAGCAUCGCCAGGAACGUCUGCGCCACGAACACCGUGAAUACGAAGCUCGUCGCCACCGUCACGCCCUGCCCCGCCGACCGCACCUCCAGCGGGAAGAUCUCGCUCGGCACCAGCCACCCCAGCGGCCCCCACGACCACCCGAACCCGGCCACGUACACCGCGAUCAGGAGGAUCAGCGCCGCCGCCCAUGUCUUGCUCACGCCGCCGUCGUCGCCCAGCUUCGCCGCCAUGAUGGCCCCGAUCAGCAGCUGCGACGCGAGCAUCUGCGCGCCGCCGGCUAGGAAGAGCGUGCGGCGGCCGAAACGGUCGACGAGGAACAUGGAGAGGAGGGUGGAGGCCGCGCCGACCACGCCCGUGACCACCGCGGACAGGAGCGACGCGCUCUCGCCCAUGCCGAUCGUGCGCAGCAGCACCGGCGCGUAGAAGGCGAUCGCGUUGAUCCCCGUCACCUGCUGGAAGAAGGGGAUCGCCACGGCCAUCACCAGCUGCGGCCGGUACCGGCGCUGGGUGAGGAGCAUCCGGAGACCGCUGCUGCCAGCCACGGCACCGCUGUCGGCGGCGGCGACGAUGCCGUCGAGUUCGCGGUCGACGUCGUCGGUGCCGCGGAUCUUACGCAGCAAGACCGCCACCUCGCGGCGGUCCUUGCCCUGCUGGACGAGGCUGUUGGGCGUCUCCGGGAGGAAGACCGCGCCAACGAGCAGGAGCCCGGCCGGCACGGCGGCGAGGGACAGCGAGACGCGCCACCCCCAGCCUCCCUUGAUCUUCUCCGUGCCGAAGUUGAUGACGUUGGCCGCGAGCGCGCCGACGCCGACGCUGAACUGGAAGCCGUUGCUGAACGCGCCGCGGUGCCGCGGCGGCGCCAUCUCAGACAGGUACAGCGGGACGGCCUGGUUCGCGAAGCCCAGCCCGACCCCGAGGAGCACGCGCCCCAGGAUGGCCAUGUAGACGUUCAGCGACGCACCUCCGACGGCCGCGCCGGCGAGAAAGGCGGCCCCGCCAAGGAGCAUGGACGGGCGGCGGCCACGGCGGGCCGUGACGCCGGACGCGAGGAACGUGGUGAGCAGGCCGGCGACGUAGAGCGAGGAGGUGAAGGCGGUGAGGAGCUGGCUGUCGAACUUGCAGUAGUUGCUGACAUGGGAGUCGCCUUUCAUCCGGCGGUACACGUCCGGGAAGAACUUGCGCAGGAAAGGCUCCAUGGACAACACCCCGCCGGCGAUGCCGAUGUCGUAGCCGAAGAUGGCGCCGCCCAUGCCGGCGGUGAUGCACGACAGCACCACGAACAUGGUGACCCUUCCGCCGCCUCCUCCAUCAUUGCUCUCGGAGACGCCGACGACGCUGCCGGCCGCCAU